ACUCACUCACUCGCUCACUCGCUCAGUCGUCCGUCCGUCCGUCUCUCGCAAUUCUAACUCCGUUCCUACUCCUGGACCCGCAGGAUCGGCGCUAUUCCUCCCUCGUUGGUUUACUGCGUGGACAGGUUUGCUUGUGUGCGUGCGUGCUUGUUUGCUUGCUGGGCUGGGUUGGCUUGCCAGUAAGGAGGGAGUAGUCAUGGCUGGAGGAGGUCCCUAUUCCGGCUCCAGCACUUUAGCCCUUGUGGCGAGGAUAUCUGCUGUUUCCGUGGGGCUCGUGUACGGCAGCAUGAAGCUCGCCUAUCUUAAGGCAAAGACGCCGACUCCAGUGAAGCAUUGAGUUUUUGGAAGUUGUGAGAGGUGGGGGUGUUGAAAAUAAACAUAUGAGGAUAAAAACGUUUUAGCGAGGCUUGCCGUAUGGCAGUGGAGGAAAGACCCCUGCCGAUUCUCACUGAAACUGGUAGAUCUUGUUCUAGGGCGAUGAUUCGCUCAUUUAACUCCAGUUCAUGAUAACAGUGAACAAGAGAAUAUCAUAGUUACAUCAGUUGAUUUAUUUAUUUAUUUCUCUCCUACUUGCACGAU